CUUGGUCAUUUAGAGGAAGUAAAAGUCGUAACAAGGUUUCCGUAGGUGAACCUGCGGAAGGAUCAUUACCGAGUGCGGGCCCUCGCGGCCCAACCUCCCACCCUUGUCUCUCUACACCUGUUGCUUUGGCGGGCCCACCGGGGUCACCUGGUCGCCGGGGGACGCACGUCCCCGGGCCCGCGCCCGCCGAAGCGCUCUGUGAACCCUGAUGAAGAUGGGCUGUCUGAGUACGAUGAAAAUUGUCAAAACUUUCAACAAUGGAUCUCUUGGUUCCGGCAUCGAUGAAGAACGCAGCGAAAUGCGAUAAGUAAUGUGAAUUGCAGAAUUCCGUGAAUCAUCGAAUCUUUGAACGCACAUUGCGCCCCCUGGCAUUCCGGGGGGCAUGCCUGUCCGAGCGUCAUUUCUGCCCUCAAGCACGGCUUGUGUGUUGGGUGUGGUCCCUCCGGGGACCUGCCCGAAAGGCAGCGGCGACGUCCGUCUGGUCCUCGAGCGUAUGGGGCUCUGUCACUCGCUCGGGAAGGACCUGCGGGGGUUGGUCACCACCAUAUUUUACCACGGUUGACCUCGGAUCAGGUAGGAGUUACCCGCUGAACUUAAGCAUAUCAAUAAGCGGAGGA
rnacentral:rRNA from 1 species